rnacentral:piRNA from 1 species
UGGGGAAAAUAGAGACUCCAGUGCCUUAA